GAGGGGUCCGCGCCUGAUUAGCUAGUUGGCGAGGUAAUGGCUCACCAAGGCUUCGAUCAGUAGCCGUCCUGAGAGGGAGCACGGCCACACUGGAACUGAGACACGGUCCAGACUCCUACGGGAGGCAGCAGUGGGGAAUUUUUGGCAAUGGGCGCAAGCCUGACCAAGCAACGCCGCGUGGGUGAUGAAGUAUCUCGGUACGUAAAACCCUUUUGGCAGGGACGAACCCAAUGACGGUACCUGCAGAAGAAGCCCCGGCUAACUCCGUGCCAGCAGCCGCGGUAAUACGGGGGGGGCAAGCGUUGUUCGGAAUUACUGGGCGUAAAGGGCGCGUAGGCGGUUGGACAAGUCAGCUGUGAAAACCUCGGGCUUAACUCGAGGCCUGCAGUUGAAACUGUCUGGCUAGAGUGUGGGAGAGGAGGGUGGAAUUCCCGGUGUAGCGGUGAAAUGCGUAGAUAUCGGGAGG
rnacentral:rRNA from 1 species